ensembl:lncRNA
UUAAGUGUUUUUUCUUUAGGGAAGAGUUUGUCUGUCCUGUUUACAUAAUGACUAAAUCAAAAAUGUUCUUUUUUUUUAGCUAUAGUUAAAGUUUAAUUAACCCAGACUCUGAUGCAAUAAUUUUAUAAUUGUUUCAGUGCAAUCAGUUUGGUUUACAGAACUGGUAUUGCUUUUGACCUCCAUACAGAAGUACUGUUGUCCUGAAAUAGUGUUGUUUACUGCUCUGUGGAGUCUGACCCUGCACUGUAGGAUGCAUAGGAUUGAAUAAUGGCCCCAGGCAGGAACAUCACGGCAGUAUCAUCUCCCAUUGAAGGAGUGGACAUCAUCUCAGCCACCAACACAGCAGCUCUCCUUCUCCAGCAAGGGCAGAGGUCCACAAGGCAACACAGUGAGAGGCCAGCAACUCUUCCCUCAUGGCCUCAGCUUGGAGCUUUAAUCUAAAGUGUUAAGGAGAAAAUGCUGGGUCCUGUCAUGGACAUGCAUCCGGAACAAGACCGUGCCUGUGGGGAUGUCCUGAGACUGUCUGGAAGAUCAGGAACCAGUGACCAUCAAGGAUCCCUUUCGCUUAGGAAAAAAUCCAAAUGUAAUUAACCAUGUGGAAAGAAUCCAAAUGCAGUAAAUGCCUCAGCCUCCUCCCCUCAAACUAAGUUCAUGCAGUGCUGUGUGGGCAGCAGGAUAGCAGGUGGCUGGUUUACUUUGUGUGUUUUGAAAUUGUUUGUUGCUUAUUGUGGUGAGAGCAAAGGUGGGGCAGUGGGACUGGCACCACUGCACUUCACCAAAUUAUCCAAAAAAUGACACUAUUGAAGAAGAGCUUCCGUGGCACAGAAGUGUGUAUGUAUUCACCCAAAGUGUGCUUUGUGCCAGCUCUGGCUUUAAUGCAAGGCUGCCUUUUAUUUGUUGCAGUUAAUAUUUUGGCAAAUCAUUUUUACUUUGGAGUGGAAAUUAUUCCCUAGCAUUUUAUUCAGAGUGAAGUUAAUAGAUUUAUGAUGUUUUGUAUUGCUUUUGUGGUUUCUUUUGUUUACUAAUUACUUCCUUCUUAUGAGCUGUUUGGUUUUCUUUUGGAAAAAUCAGCUCAUUUAGCUUUAGUGUAUCUAGAAGUUUAAGUCCUCAGUGUUCAUUUCUAUCUGGGUUUGUGCAAUCAGCAGUAUCUGCUUUCAGGGAUUUCAAGUUUUAUUUUUCAGCAAAAGCUUUGAUUUCAAGUUCAAAGGAAUAUGCUUGGGUUUGAUAUGAACUUUGUGUAUAUAGUUAAAUUAAAAAAAAAAUUAUUGGAAAUUAAAAUAGAAUUAUGAAUAAUUUUCAGAAGUUAUCCUCAAAGUGCAGCCAGGAAUGAACUCUUUUAAAGGAAAGUCCAGGGAUGACUUGUCCACCAGGCUUGAAGAAUCAGAUUUUUGUGUUUAAUUUAUAAGUUUAUUGUUAUUUGUCAACUAAAAUGCUUUAUAAAACAGUCUUAAAAUAAUCUCUCAUUUUUAAUAUCUUAGAUUAAAAGAGAUACUUAUGUAUUUAGAUAAACACCAUUUUUUAAGAAAUUCAUUAUAGUUUAAGUGUUUGAUGUUUUAGUUCCUUUUAAUCACUGUAUGGUAUUUGCAGCCUGUCUGGAAGCAUUACUCAACACAAUUUAGUUAAGGCUUAUGCCAGCUACCAGUCUAAAUAUAUAAAUUGUGACUUGUUUUAACAUAAGGAACUCUUCCUCUGAACAGAAAUGUAUUGAAAAGCUAAAUAAAAUUGAUUUUUUUUUUAAUCUACCA